rnacentral:lncRNA from 1 species
GGAGCACCAAAAUGCGGUGGGCGUCAGACGAGCAGCACGGCGAAGAACCACGGUGAGUGGGCGACUGCUGAAUCUGUGGUUGGGGACGUACAUGUGCGGCUUGGUGGUCGAUCUGUGUUCCGCCAGGGAAAGCAUUGCCCCCGGCGAGAUCUGUGCUGGAGAGACGAGGCUGGAUGCACGGAGAGCGGCUGCUGCAAUCCGUACCCCUGGGAGAGGAGAGGCCAUGGCGACUUAGCUCCGGCAGGUCAGUGUCGUUGGAUCUCAUGAAGCCACAUAGUCAAGCCUGCGGUGAUGGUGGAAAUGAAAGUAAAUCUAGGAUUGGAAGAGAAAUCAUACAUAUUUGUUUACGCACUUGUUGAACCGGACUCCGACCGUGAGACGAAGGUGACGUCCUUGCCACCGCAAUGCGGACAAGGGAUGAGCGGAAGCGUCUCCCCAUGGUGGUGCGAGGAAGAAGCUGAGAGGACAUGGCCGCCGAUCUGGUUUCUUGCGAGGUUGGACGGGAUAAGGAGAGAGGAGGAGCAGGAAGGAUCCAGAGAUGGGUGUUGGUGAGACAGUAAUAAGAUGGGGAGGGUGGCCGUUAAGGUAUGAAGCCCG